UUUGUCAUUUCAAUCAGGAGUGACAUGCAUGAAAAAUACAAAUAAAAAGUAUUACAGAUUUAAAAGAUUAAAGGGCUGAUAGUGUUCAAAGAGGUUUUGGUACUUGGACACAAUGGGGGAGAUUUCAAAGCUGAGGACUUCUUCCAAAGCCCAGUCACUGGUGGUGAAGCAUGAAGAAUGAUGGAUCUGAUGACACUGUGAAGACUUGGUGGCAGUGGGGAGGUGGAGGGUGAGCAUGACAGCACAGUGGGAGAACGAAGACCAAAAGAGUUGCAUUUAAAAAAAAAAAAAAAGGCAA